UAGUAUAGGUGAUUUCGGUUCGGUUCGGUUUAAUCAAAAUUUUUGAAUCUAAAACCGAACCGAACCGAAAUCACCGAAAUUUCU
rnacentral:pre_miRNA from 1 species